rnacentral:tRNA from 1 species
AAAAAUUUAGUUAAGUCAUAACAUUAGUUUGUCAAACUAAAAUAAUUAAAAAUAUAAUAAUUUUUA